rnacentral:rRNA from 1 species
AACGAACGCUGGCGGCAGGCUUAACACAUGCAAGUCGAACGCCCCGCCAGGGGAGUGGCAGACGGGUGAGUAACGCGUGGGAACAUACCCUUUUCUACGGAAUAGCUCUGGGAAACUGGAAUUAAUACCGUAUACGCCCUACGGGGGAAAGAUUUAUCGGGGAAGGAUUGGCCCGCGUUGGAUUAGCUAGUUGGUGGGGUAAAGGCCUACCAAGGCGACGAUCCAUAGCUGGUCUGAGAGGAUGAUCAGCCACAUUGGGACUGAGACACGGCCCAAACUCCUACGGGAGGCAGCAGUGGGGAAUAUUGGACAAGGGGCGCAAGCCUGAUCCAGCCAUGCCGCGUGAGUGAUGAAGGCCUUAGGGUUGUAAAGCUCUUUCACCGAUGAAGAUAAUGACGGUAGUCGGAGAAGAAGCCCCGGCUAACUUCGUG